rnacentral:rRNA from 1 species
UACGUAGGGUGCGAGCGUUGUCCGGAAUUACUGGGCGUAAAGAGCUCGUGGGUGGUUUGUCGCGUCGUCUGUGAAAUUCCGGGGCUUAACUUCGGGCGUGCAGGCGAUACGGGCAAUACUUGAGUGCUGUAGGGGAGACUGGAAUUCCUGGUGUAGCGGUGGAAUGCGCAGAUAUCAGGAGGAACACCGAUGGCGAAGGCAGGUCUCUGGGCAGUAACUGACGCUGAGGAGCGAAAUCAUGGGUAGCGAACAGGAUUAGAUA